rnacentral:rRNA from 1 species
GAUGAACGCUGGCGGCGUGCCUAAUACAUGCAAGUCGAGCGAACGGACGAGAAGCUUGCUUCUCUGAUGUUAGCGGCGGACGGGUGAGUAACACGUGGAUAACCUACCUAUAAGACUGGGAUAACUUCGGGAAACCGGAGCUAAUACCGGAUAAUAUUUUGAACCGCAUGGUUCAAAAGUGAAGGACGGUCUUGCUGUCACUUAUAGAUGGAUCCGCGCUGCAUUAGCUAGUUGGUAAGGUAACGGCUUACGAAGGCAACGAUGCAUAGCCGACCUGAGAGGGUGAUCGGCCACACUGGAACUGAGACACGGUCCAGACUCCUACGGGAGGCAGCAGUAGGGAAUCUUCCGCAAUGGGCGAAAGCCUGACGGAGCAACGCCGCGUGAGUGAUGAAGGUCUUCGGAUCGUAAAACUCUGUUAUUAGGGAAGAACAUAUGUGUAAGUAACUGUGCACAUCUUGACGGUACCUAAUCAGAAAGCCACGGCUAACUACGUG